GUCCACGCCCUAAACGAUGCUCACUAGGUGUUGGGGAAGCGAUUCCUUGGUACCGAAGCUAACGCGUGAAGUGAGCCGCCUGGGGAGUACGGCCGCAAGGUUAAAACUCAAAGGAAUUGACGGGGACCCGCACAAGCGGUGGAUGAUGUGGAUUAAUUCGAUGCAACGCGAACAACCUUACCUACCCUUGACAUGUGUGGAAGGCCCCUGAGAGGGGGCUGUGCCUGAAAGGGAACCGGAACACAGGUGCUGCAUGGCUGUCGU
rnacentral:rRNA from 1 species